ACAGUCUUCACGUUAGAAAUAAAAGGUUCAGUAACGUUUAAUUUCUCUUUUGGAAAUUCAAAUGGGGUUAGAGCGUCUCUAGCGUGGUUACUGCUUCUCUUGGUUACCUAGGCAACCUAGAGGGUCCCUAGUGGGAUUACCCCCACGCGCCGCCUAGCGGCACGUGACAGAGCCUUCAUAGUGAAUUCGCCGCGGACGCCAUUUGCUCCAUGGAAAGUGGCGCGAUAAGAGGUGCCGAAUUCUCCGCGAUUAAUUAGAUUACUGUGAGUUCCCGAUUGAAAUUCAAACACAGGGAAGGUGUUAUCGACGCCAUGAUGAAUUGUGUUCAACUCAAACGGACUCUCUCGAAGAAUGGUCAAUUUGCAACUUAUUCAAACAAAAAGAAUAAAACUGAAUGGAGAACUACACAUAAUACGCCAAAAAUAUUCAGGAUAACGUAAUAAUUGCAUGCGAUGUUUGAACUGAAAAAUAAACCGAUGGAGACAUACAUUUGCGAACCAUUGUGGUACCUGUACAAACCAGGUCUUGACAAUGAAGAUUGUUUGGGAAGAUCUAUGCUUAAAAAUUUUAAGGGAAAUCUUCGAGCAAGUGCAGCCAUAACAUGCGUGCACUAUAUCUUCGACCAGUAGAGUGCUCCGAUCGAGUGUAUAGUCCUCUGAUUAGCUGCAGCAUUUCCCCAUAAACUAGUGCCAUCGUCAUAAUUCGGAACACUUCUUCUUUGCGUGGGUGGAGAAGGUUCUUCCCAGCCUGAUGGUUUCCCA